CUUGGUCAUUUAGAGGAAGUAAAAGUCGUACCAAGGUUUCCGUAGGUGAACCUGCGGAAGGAUCAUUAGAAGUUAUUAGUUUAACUAUGUUUUGUGCUUAUAUGUUAACUCUUUAUGUUAUUUGCUUGGUUUGUCUAAUUUAAAACUUGCAACAACGGAUCUCUAGGCUCUCCCAUCGAUGAAGAACGCAGCAAAAUGCGAUACGUAAUGUGAUCAGCGGCUUUCGUGAACCAUCGAGACUUUGAACGCACCUUGCACUGCAGAGUUAUUCUCUGUAGUAUGUUUGUUUGAGUGUCUUAUACACCCUUACUUUGCUAGUGAUAGCUUAGUAGUUGCUGGUAUUGCAUUGCUAGUCAGUGCUCUGCCGAAAUAUAUCCACCUAUAGUCUAGUUAAACUAACAAGACUUGUACGGUAGCUAAUACAACCAGACCUCAAAUCAAGCAGGAUUACCCGCUGAACUUAAGCAUAUCAAUAAGCGGAGGAAAAGAAACUAACAAGGAUUCCUUUAGUAACGGCGAGUGAACAAGGAACAGCCCAAAUUUAAAAUCUGUUGCCAAACAGAGUUGUAGUUUGGAGACCUGUGAUCAGCAAAGCAUAACCGGUAAGUCUGUUGGAACACAGCGCCAUAGAGGGUGAUAGCCCCGUCUGUACGGUACAAGCUGAGCAUUACGACACAGUGUCGACGAGUCGAGUUGUUUGGGAUUGCAGCUCAAAGUGGGUGGUAAACUCCAUCUAAGGCUAAAUAUUGGGGAGAGACUGAUAGCAAACAAGUACCGUGAGGGAAAGAUGAAAAGAACUUUGGAAAGAGGGUUAAAAGUGUGUGAAAUUGUUGCAAGGGAAACGAUUGCCCGUCGAUUGGAGCAUCGGUUGGUCUGCUAAGACAACAUUAGCGAAUGUGGCUGGGCAACCAGUGUUAGCGUUGAUUGGAGUUAGCGGGCCGACUGUGGUCAGACUUGUACUUAGCGCUCUUCGGAGUCUACGAGAAGGAUGCUCUUGGCUGGUAAACGACCCGUCUUGAAACACGGACC
rnacentral:rRNA from 1 species